rnacentral:lncRNA from 10 species
CCCCAAUCUUCUGCGUCACAAAACUUUCCACUCCGGAAACGCAGCCUCCCCGGCUGCGGCGCAGGGCCCCCGGACCCUGCGGAACCUGGGCUGAAGCGAAAAAGCCAGCGGAAGGAACCCGGGAAAAAACAAGAAACCCAUUCCAUCCUCCUUUCCAGGCCUUCGCCCGCCCGAGACCCGCCGUCUCCCGGAGUUCUCGGGGAUAACGGGCUCAGCUGCGAAGUUCUUCCUUGAGCAUCUGAAUUUGGUUGUGGUCAGAUGGUGGAUAAAGCUGGACUUAUCUGAAUCUUCUUUCGUCACAUGUCUGGAGUGUCUGGAGUGGCUGGAAAACAGCUUCCUCACAAGUCCCCCUAUGUUAUUGGGGACAGAAUUGUGCCCAGACAAGAAAAUGAUGUUUCCCAGCCUCCCCUGCAGCUGAGUGGGGACAACCAUUGAGAUGCCGUUGCAGGGCUCCGCUUUGGAGCGGGCAUUGGAGGAAUUCUUUGACCACCAAGCAGCCUCCAUACCUCCCUCCUACAUAACAGAGCCACCGAGAGGCUGUUUGCAUUCUGCCUGCUUUCUCUUUUUCCGUUGCAGUAGUUUAUUAAUUAGUGUGCAAAAAAUAAAAAGGAGGUAAUAACCUUAUUUAUGUGCUAGU